rnacentral:snRNA from 1 species
AGCUUUGAGCAGUGGCAGUAUCACAGCCAAUGAGGUUUAUCCGAGGCACGAUUAUUGCUGGUACAUAGAUAGGAUAAAUAUGAGAAAGUAAAUGAAAUUA